GGAUGAGGAGGGGACAAGGGGGACAAGAAGGGGGAACAAGGAGGCUGAGCAUCACCCUGCACCCAACAUUUUGUUGCAUUUUUUUUCUGAUUUAUACAUUCAGCAGAUGUUGUCUGCAGCUCUUGGGGUCACAAGCGCGAGGAACGUCACCGCUGUCCCCUUAACGUGGCACUGGUGAGACCGCAGCUCCCGCCAGCACCCCGAAAGGAGGAGGCGGGGAGGGAGGUGUCCGGCAUUUACUCAGGUGACAGCACGUGAGGGAACAGGCUCGAGUUGCCCAGGGCAUGGCUACGUUGGGUUUGGGGCAGGAUUUCUGCAUGGAGAGGGUGGCCAACGGGAGCUGUGGGUUGGUGCACCCAGUGUGCCAGGCUCUGGUUCACCUUCUUGUCACAGAAUCCAGCCCGGUUGGGGCUGGAGGCAACCCCCAGGUCCUUCUGGUCCCAGGGGUGCUCCAGCAGCCCCCAGAGCUGCCCUUGUUCCUACUGUUUAGGAGAAAUUCAGAGAGUUUAAAACGAAAAAUGAUUUAUUUGUGAGUGUGUUUCUGUCACCGGUACUCCUGACAAGGUGUUGGGUGUUAAUUAGCGUGGCAAGCUUUACAUUUUCAGGUUGACUUUUAAUAAAUAAAUAGAUAAAUAAAUAAAUAAAUAGUAAUAAUAAUAAUAAUAAUAAUUGUAAUAAUAAUAAUAAUUGUAAUAAUAAUAAUAAUAAUAAGAAGAAGAAGAAGAAGAAGAAGAAGAAGAAGAAGAAGAAGAAGGAGUUGGAAAUUCUCUUUAAAGAAUACCCAACUUGUUAAAGACCUGUUUUGUGUUUUUUUUUUUUCCUUCUGGCUGCACAAACCCGACACUUUACCCAGCCACUUCUAUUUCCCCAUGAACCUUAUUUCUCAAGGCGCGCACAGAUUCUCAGCUUUGGUUUCCUAUCCAGGAACACCGUCUAUGAAGCGCUCCUGCUCUCCCUGCUGUGAGGAUCAGGGCAGUUUGUUCCGCAGCAGGUCAAACUCCACAACCGGAGAAUUAAAACAAAACCUCCCGGAGAGGAAUUCGGAGAAUCUCGUGAUUCCCAUUCACGUUUUUGGCCAUUCCUUACCUUUUUACAGUGUCUGCGUCCCCUCUGCUGGCUUCCCACCACGAAUUUCCCAUGCUCCUAGCAGUUACCACACUAGAGGAUUCCCAUUUCCACCCCACUUCAUUCAGGAGCACAUUCAUUAUGCAAAUAAUUUAUCUAUGGUGCUAAGCAAGACGUUGCUGCAUGGUAACACGAGACACCUGAAGAGAUGCACAGUCCAGUAAAAAUGCACCUGCAGAAGGGCAUCACAGCACCCCGGUGCCAAACACCUCGAAAACAGGGUCCUGCUUUGCUCCACCGUGAAUUUAAUUAAAAACAUUCCGAGUCCUUUUGCACUGGGCAAAAAUCUU